rnacentral:rRNA from 1 species
UACCAGCACCCCGAGUGGUCGGGACGAUUAUUGGGCCUAAAGCAUCCGUAGCCGGUUCUGCAAGUCCCCCGUUAAAUCCAGCUGCUCAACAGAUGGGCCGCGGAGGAUACUACAGAGCUAGGAGGCAGGAGAGGCAAGCGGUACUCAGUGGGUAGGGGUAAAACCCGUUGAUCCAUUGAAGACCACCAGUGGCGAAGGCGGCUUGCCAGAAUGCGCUCGACGGUGAGGGAUGAAAGCUGGGGGAGCAACCGG